GAUGAAAAUAAAAGAGCUUUGCUAGAUUGGUCCACACUUUUAGCAAUAAUUCAAGGAAUAGCUCAUGGACUUCUUUACCUACAUAAGCACUCCCAAUUGCGCGUCAUACAUCGAGAUCUUAAACCGAGCAACAUUCUCUUGGAUAGCGAAAUGAAUCAAAAAAUUUCAGACUUUGGGCUAGCAAAAAUAUUCAACUCAAAUAGCAGUGAACAAAACACUACAAGAAGAGUGUUCGGUACAUACGGCUACAUGCCCCCUGAGUAUGCUUCAGAAGGCAUCUUCUCUAUUAAAUCCGAUGUCUUCAGCUUUGGUGUUGUUAUUUUUGAGAUCAUUAGUGGAAAACGGAAUUCUGGUAGCCGACAAUGUGGAGAUUUCAUCAAUCUCCUUGGAUAUGUGAGCAAAUAA
rnacentral:rRNA from 1 species